rnacentral:tRNA from 1 species
CCAGGGGGUAGUUUAAAAAAUAUUAAUUUUGGAAAUUAAAGUAAAAGAGACCUCUUUCUUUUCCUCUG